rnacentral:rRNA from 1 species
CCUACGGGAGGCAGCAGUAGGGAAUCUUUCACAAUGGGCGAAAGCCUGAUGGAGCAACGCCGCGUGCAGGAUGAAGGCCUUCGGGGUGUAAACUGCUUUUAUUAGCGAGAAAUAUGAUGGUAACUUAUGAUUAAGGAUCGGAGAACAACGUGCCAGCUGCCGCGGUCAUACGUAGGAUCCGAGCAUUAUCCGGAGUGCCUGUGGGUAAAGAGUUGCGUAUGUGUCAUAAUGAGUAGCUAGUGGAAUCUGGUGGCUCAACCAUUCAGACUACUAGCUAAACUGUUAGGCUCGAGUCCAGUAGAGGUAACCGGAAUUGCUAGUGUAGGAGUGAAAUACGUAGAUAUUAGAAAGAACACCGAUAGCGUAGGCAGGUUACUGGGAUGGUUCUGACACUAAGGCACGAAAGCGUAGGGAGCAAACGGGAUUAGAUACCCGUGUAGUC